rnacentral:lncRNA from 10 species
AAUCACUGUGGCCAAUGGGAUUAGGUUUGCUAAAUGUCUUAAGCCAAUUUGAGGUCAAUUCCAUACAAACUACAUUGGUUGGAAGAAGGGUCAGAAUAAAGAUGGGAGGAAAUAGGUGAGCAAACAUCUUAAGUCAGCAGUCACCAGCCUUUUUGGCACCAGGGACCGGUUUUAUGGAAAACAAUUUUUCCAUGGAUGGAGGGGGAUGGUUUUGGGAUGAAACUGUUCUACCUCAGAACAUCAGGCAUUAGUUAGAUUCUCAUAAGGAGCAUGUAACCCAGAUCCUUCGCAUGCACAGUUCAUAAUAGGGAUCAUGAGACUCUAAUGCCACCACUGAUCUGAAAGGAGGCAGAGCUCAGGCAAUAAUGCUUGCUCACCCACCGCUCACCUCCUGCUGUGCAGCCCAGUUCCUAACAGGUCACCAGCUGGUACCAGUCUGCCACCUGGAGGUCGGGAAUCCCUGUCUGAAGUGAUUUAAAACCCUUCAGUAAUCUCUAUUGCUCUUCAUAUAAAGGCUGCUCUUUCCUCAUCAGGGCCUAUACUACCCUGCAUGGUAUUGUCUCUGUCACCCCUUUGGGCUCAUCUUUCUCAGUCAUUCUUUCCUGGUGUUCAAGCAUGCUUUUUUUUAGAGAGAGAGGGGGCCUCAUUCUGUCACUCAGGCUACAGUGCAGUGGUGCAGUGGUGCAAUUAUAGCUCACUGCAGUCUUGACCUCCUGAGUUCAAGCAAUCUUCCCACUUCAGCCUCCCAAAGUAUUAGGAUUAUAGGCAUGAGCCACCAUGCCCAGCUGAACCUUUGAAGAUCUUUUAUGGAAUAGAGAGUAUAUGAUAAAAACUGUGGUUUGGCUAUUGAAAAACCAAUAAUAUCUACCUUCUUCUUUGACUACUUAUACUAUUAAGGCUAAAAAAACCAAAGUACCUAAUUUCUCCAGUUCCUUUGCAACUAGUCAAAAGUGCUCAAGGAGGGCUUCCCUUUAUGGAAAAAGGCAAAGUCUUCUUGAGACUUUUUAAUCCUUUUUGUCCUUUUCACCCUCUACCUUCUUCCUGCCUAGAAUGUAGAAGCGAGGCCUGGAGGUGAAGCAGCCAUCUUCCAUUCAUGCCACAGCUAGCAUGAGGGUGAAUGUCUAUAUAAUAAGGAUGGCAGAGCAGAAAGAUGAAAAGAGACUGGAACUCUGGAAGCAGUUUGAAGCCACUGUACCUACCCCUACCUUGUAAUGGAUGAGACAAAUAAACCCCUAUUUGUUUAAGCCACUGUAGUACAGUUCUCUGUUAUUUACAGAUGAAUGCAUUACUGAUAUAGGUUACAUGGUACAAAGAUCAAAUUUCUCUUCUAGAAGAUAAGUUGACCUGAGGAAAAGUCCUGCAAUGCACAGAGAGAAGCCAGUCAGAAGGCUCCAGGACCCCAGGAAAAAGACAGUGAGGCCUUGAAGGAUUUAGUAUGAGAAAAAGGUAAAUUAUCACAAAUUUUUGUCAUUUGUAAAUUUUUUCCAUAAUUCUUAUGAUGAAAAUAAUUAUAUAACCACACACUUACCAAAUAUUAAAUU